rnacentral:snRNA from 1 species
AAAACUACCUGGGUGAGGAAGUAUCUUGAUCAGGAAGGUGAUCCUCCCAUGGCAAAGGUUUAGCUCUUUCACUCUGUUAGGAAUGACCUCUGUCAUUUUUCCAAAUAUGAGAAACUCAACUUCUGACUCUGUGGAAGAUACAAUAUUCUCUGUUC